GCUCUCUCAGACAGCACUUAUACAGCAGUGGGAAUAAUACAGAGAAUAUUAGCAUGACCUCUGUGCAAAGGAUGCUCAAAUUCAGGAAGUAUUCCAUAUUAAG
ensembl:snRNA U6 U6 spliceosomal RNA